rnacentral:rRNA from 1 species
AUUGAACGCUGGCGGCAGGCCUAACACAUGCAAGUCGAACGGUAGCACAGAGAGCUUGCUCUUGGGUGACGAGUGGCGGACGGGUGAGUAAUUUCUGGGAAACUGCCUGAUGGAGGGGGAUAACUACUGGAAACGGUAGCUAAUACCGCAUAACGUCGCAAGACCAAAGAGGGGGACCAUCGGGCCUCUCGCCAUCAGAUGUGCCCAGAUGGGAUUAGCUAGUAGGUGGGGUAAUGGCUCACCUAGGCGACGAUCCCUAGCUGGUCUGAGAGGAUGACCAGCCACACUGGAACUGAGACACGGUCCAGACUCCUACGGGAGGCAGCAGUGGGGAAUAUUGCACAAUGGGCGCAAGCCUGAUGCAGCCAUGCCGCGUGUAUGAAGAAGGCCUUCGGGUUGUAAAGUACUUUCAGCGAGGAGGAAGGCAAUACGGUUAAUAACCGUGUUGAUUGACGUUACUCGCAGAAGAAGCACCGGCUAACUCCGUGCCAGCCGCCGCGGUAAUAC